rfam:Enterocytozoon bieneusi H348 ctg01_1149, whole genome shotgun sequence.
CGAGAAGUUGAAAGAUCUCAUCUAGAGAAUGAAAAGUGAAAGUAUUAGGGCGUAAGCUGAUGACAUCAGACCCGUAUUGAAACACGGACCAAGGAGACUUUGAGUAUAGCGAGGCGAAGGAUGUGAAGUCCCCACCCGCGAGAAAUCUACAAGUUAUACUGAUAGGACCCGAAAGGCAGUGAACUAUACCUGCUCUGCUUGACGCCACGGCAAACCGUGGUUGAGGAGCUAAGUCGUAUUGAUGUUCAACUCAUUGACAGGAAGUGGGUAUAGGGGCGAAAGACCAAUCGAACUGCCUGGUAGCUGGUUCCGGCCGAAAUGUCUCUCAGGACAGCGGUGUCUGCGAAUAGGAAGAUGCGGUAGAGAGGAUGUCGACCUUGUCAACAAACUCCGAAUGCGUCAUUGUGUUGCGAUUGCAUCCAACAUGAUCAUCUAUAAGACACUAGUGGGCGCCUUGUGGUAAGCAUGCGGCGCAAAAAGGGAUGAACCUAGCAGUGGGGUAAGGUGCCUAAAGGAAAACAAAGAGAAAAAGCGUUUGGCAGAUUAGGACAGUGGGGCGGUGGCCAUGGAGGUCGGCAUCCGCUAAGAAACGUGUUACAACGUACCCACCGAAUCUGCGAAUGCUGAAAAUGGAUGGCGCUUAUUUCCAUACCGAGCCCCACAUGGUACAGCCACGUAGGCCGGCACGUGUGCAUCUGAGAAGACCCGCCGUGAGGUGUGUUGGAGAUGUUCACGGAGCAGAUCUUGGAAGUAGUAGCAUCAUUUGUAUGUGCCAAUGGAGGCGGGUUUGUCCUUUUAAUAGAAGGAAGUGAUACGAGCCUAGUAAAAGGGAAUAUAGUAGAUAUUCUAUAUAGAUGUACCUAUGUGGCGACACGACAGCGACCCCAACGACGUGUGCCGGUGAGAAUUUUCCGGGACACCCAGAUCUUAUGAGCGUCACGCUGAGACUAAGAACGAGUUGGGCGGUGAAAAUGAAGGAACAUCCUCGUACCGAACCGCAACAGGACUCCUAGGUGAGAAGCCUAAGGCAUAAUUGUAAUGUGAGCAAGGGAAAUCGGCAAAAUGGAUGAAAAACCUCGGGAUAAUCAUUGGCUCUAGCAUGCUAGAACUGGGCUUACAAGGGGAAUCUGACUGUUUAAUAAAAACAUAGCUUUGUGUGUACGCAAAGUGAAUUCUGCCCAGUGCUUGGGACGUUAAGGAAGUAAUUUUAAGUACGCACCUGUAAACGGCGGGAGUAACUAUGACUCUCUUAAGGUAGCCAAAUGCCUCGUCGCCUAAUUAGCGACGCGCAUGAAUGGAGCAACGAGAUUCCCACUGUCCCUGCUCACAGAUUUGCGAACCUACAGCCAAGGGAACGGGCUUGGGACAUGCAGCGGGGAAAGAAGACCCUGUUGAGCUUGACUCUAGCCAAGCACAGGCCUCUGUGACUAUAUCGUAGCGAGGUGGGAGAAAUGUGUGAGACCACUGACAUAGUCGGCGGGGGCACUCGCAAAGCUUGGUGGGGAGUUUGGCUGGGGCGGCACGACUACUAAAACAUAACGUAGACGUCCAAAGGUAGCUCCGAAGGGGAUGAAACACUUCCAAAGAUAAAAGGCCAAACCUGCUUUAUUAUUAAAGAAAUUAAUAAUUAUGGAACAGGGGCUUGAAAUUCUCUAUAAACUAACAUAAAGGUGACGAAAAUUUACACAGGAAAUUGGGUUGGGGCGGCGAACUUCAUUCAACCCCCUUUUUAAUUUUCAAGUCGGUCCUCCGACAGGGGAAAAUUACCCCAGGGGGUUUUUUCCAACAAAGGGAAAUGCUGGGUUAAAGUCUGAAAAGUUUUUUCCCAG